CACGUAGGCGGAUUGUUAAGUCAGGGGUGAAAUCCCGGAGCUCAACUCCGGAACUGCCUUUGAAACUGGCAAUCUUGAGUCCGGGAGAGGUGAGUGGAACUGCGAGUGUAGAGGUGAAAUUCGUAGAUAUUCGCAAGAACACCAGUGGCGAAGGCGGCUCACUGGCCCGGUACUGACGCUGAGGUGCGAAAGCGUGGGGAGCAAACA
rnacentral:rRNA from 1 species